ACGGUAACAGGGAUCAGCUUGCUGAUUCGCUGACGAGUGGCGGACGGGUGAGUAAUGUCUGGGAAACUGCCUGAUGGAGGGGGAUAACUACUGGAAACGGUAGCUAAUACCGCAUAACGUCGCAAGACCAAAGAGGGGGACCUUCGGGCCUCUUGCCAUCGGAUGUGCCCAGAUGGGAUUAGCUAGUAGGUGGGGUAACGGCUCACCUAGGCGACGAUCCCUAGCUGGUCUGAGAGGAUGACCAGCCACACUGGAACUGAGACACGGUCCAGACUCCUACGGGAGGCAGCAGUGGGGAAUAUUGCACAAUGGGCGCAAGCCUGAUGCAGCCAUGCCGCGUGUAUGAAGAAGGCCUUCGGGUUGUAAAGUACUUUCAGCGGGGAGGAAGGGAGUAAAGUUAAUACCUUUGCUCAUUGACGUUACCCGCAGAAGAAGCACCGGCUAACUCCGUGCCAGCAGCCGCGGUAAUACGGAGGGUGCAAGCGUUAAUCGGAAUUACUGGGCGUAAAGCGCACGCAGGCGGUUUGUUAAGUCAGAUGUGAAAUCCCCGGGCUCAACCUGGGAACUGCAUCUGAUACUGGCAAGCUUGAGUCUCGUAGAGGGGGGUAGAAUUCCAGGUGUAGCGGUGAAAUGCGUAGAGAUCUGGAGGAAUACCGGUGGCGAAGGCGGCCCCCUGGACGAAGACUGACGCUCAGGUGCGAAAGCGUGAGGAGCAAACAGGAUUAGAUACCCUGGUAGUCCACGCCGUANACGAUGUCGACUUG
rnacentral:rRNA from 1 species